rnacentral:lncRNA from 1 species
AGAGAACGAUGAUUGGAAGACUAACCUAGGGAAGAAGAAAUCGAUUGGAAUCCUGACUACGUGGAGAAGACUGGAGGGAUCAAUCGAAGAGGAUUCGGGUUUUGUGAGGUGGGGGAUCGAUGGGAUGAGCGAUGCUAGUCUCUCUGUAUCUCUCUUUAUCUUGCUUUCGAUGGAAGAUCGACGGAAGGAGCGACGCUGAUCUCUCUCUACCCUUCUGAUGGGAGAUUGAUCGGAGGAGAGAUGCUGGUCUCUCUCUCUCCCCUUGUCUCCCUUUCGAUUUUACUCUGAUUUCUUUCCUAUCCUUGUGGGUGCUAGGGGAAAGAAAAAUUCUAAUUGGGAGGAGGCUUGGAGUCCAUGGGAAAUCUUAUGCAGGGUUAAGCUAGUGCACGGGAAAGAGAGGAAACAUUUUCUUCAUGCGUGAAACAAGAGUAGAAUACACAUGGAAUUGGCCCAGAGGGGUGAAGGAAAAACCGUAUUUUUUCUUUGUAGG